UACGUAGGGUGCGAGCGUUAUUCGGAAUUACUGGGCGUAAAGCGUGCGCAGGCGGUUCGUUGUGUCGGCGGUGAAAGCCCCGGGCUCAACCUGGGAAUGGCCGUUGAAACUGGCGAACUGGAGUGUGGCAGAGGGGGGUGGAAUUCCGCGUGUAGCAGUGAAAUGCGUUGAUAUGUGCAGGAACACCAAUGGCGAAGGCAAUCUUCUGGACGGAUACUGACGCUGAGACACGAAAGCCAAGGUAGCAAACAGG
rnacentral:rRNA from 1 species